rnacentral:rRNA from 1 species
UACGUAGGGUGCUAGCGUUGCUCGGAAUCACUGGGCGUAAAGCGCACGUAGGCGGCUUUCUAAGUCAGGGGGUGAAAUCCUGGAGCUCAACUCCAGAACUGCCUUUGAUACUGGGGAGCUCGAGUCCGGAAGAGGUGAGUGGAACUCCGAGUGUAGAGGUGAAAUUCGUAGAUAUUCGGAAGAACACCAGUGGCGAAGGCGGCUCACUGGUCCGGUACUGACGCUGAGGUGCGAAAGCGUGGGGAGCAAACAGG